UGGGGAAUUUUGCACAAUGGAGGAAACUCUGAUGCAGCGACGCCGCGUGAGUGAUGAAGAUCUUCGGAUUGUAAAACUCUGUCCUUAGUGAAGAUAAUGACAGUAACUAAGAAGCAAGCCCUGGCUAAAUACGUGCCAGCAGCCGCGGUAAUACGUAUGGGGCAAGCGUUGUCCGGAAUUAUUGGGCGUAAAGGGUACGUAGGCGGUUUAAUAAGUCCUAAUUAAAAGGCUAUGGCUCAACCAUAGUAUGGUUAGGAAACUGUUGAACUUGAAUAGAUGAGGGGGUAGUAGAAUUCCAUGUGUAGCGGUGAAAUGCGUAGAUGUAUGGAGGAAAACCAAUGGCGAAGGCAACUUUCUGGAAUCAAACUGACGCUGAGGUACGAAGGCGUGGGGAGCAAACAGG
rnacentral:rRNA from 1 species